rnacentral:lncRNA from 1 species
GGACAGCACAGCCACUCCGUCCCCAAAACUGGGGCGGCCACCCACGCCCCGAGUCUGCAGAGGGGCGCGCAUGGCCUGCGGAGGCCGGGGGCUGCCGGGUCCUGCCGCGGCUGUGUACAACCCCCCCCCAGGUGGAAAGACAGACCCGCGAGCGCGCACGCGCUCCCGCAGGCCUGCAGACUCCCGGGGGCUUCCAGGCACACGGGAGUUGGAGACGCCGACACGUGGAAACGUGUCUGUCCUUCCAGUGCCUUCCACGCCCGACACAGAGGGGAGCGGAGCAGCCGGACGGCCAGGGUCAAGCGGGCACUGGGGCGGGCAAAGGCACCGGUGGUCUUGGCGCAGCGCGAGGAUCAGCCCACUGUCCCGCGGAGGCUCCGGGGUGGGGACGUGCAACCGGCAGACGCCCCCUCCGGAGGACAGAGACGCGAUCGCUGACCACACCACCCCUCGGGGGGCGGGCCGCUCGUCGUGCCCUAUUUGAACAUUCCACCCCGUGAGUGUAUCUGGAGGAAGGGCGGAGCGGGCGGCUCAGAGGCUGCGUGUGGAAGUCAGGCCCUGGGCCUGGGGGUCGAGCCUAGCCACGACCCUGCCUGGGAGCGCUCGCGGAGCUGACCGUGACCUCCUCGGCCCAGAGCCCAGCCCAGGCAUGUGAUCACAGAGAAGGAGGCUGGGCUGGGAGGGUCCCGCCCGAGCCCUCCCCUGGCGAUACCCUUCCAGACCAUGCUCCAGGCACCUGGGACCCCAGGAUGCCACCGAGGGGGACUCUGCUUCAAACGCAUCCGGAAGCAGCGCCCUGGUCUGUGGACCAGCGAGUCCUCAAAACUCCUGGUCUUCCAUCCAUUUCACAGCCCAGGAGACUGAGGGCCGAGAGGGCAAAGGACCUUCCCGUGACAUGCAGCCUCG